rnacentral:rRNA from 1 species
GAUGAACGCUGGCGGCGUGCUUAACACAUGCAAGUCGAACGGAAAGGCGAGGAUCUUGCGGCUCUGACGUUAGGGGCGGGCGGGUGAGACACACGUGGAUAACCUACCUAUAUGACUUGGAUAACUUCGGGAAAGGGGAGCAAAUACCAGAUGAUAUAUUGAACCGCAGGGGGCAAUAGAGAAAGGCGGUUUUGGGGUGGAUUCUAGAUGGAUCCGCGCCGUAUUAGGUAGUUGGGAAGGUAACGGCUUACCAAGGCAACGAUGCGUAGCCGACGUGAGGGGGUGAUCGGCCACCCUGGAACUGAGACGCGGUCCAGAGUCCUACGGGAGGCCGCAGUAGGGAAUGGUCCGCAAUGGGCGGAAGCCUGACGGAGCAGCGCCGCGUGAGUGAUGAAGGUCCUCGGAGCGUAAAACUCUCUUAUUGGGGAAGAACAAAUGUGUAAGUAACUAUGCACUGCUUGACGGUACUGGAUAAGAAAGCCCCGGCUAACUACGUG